CAGAGAAGCCUAAUACACAGAUUGGACAACAAUGGAGAUCUUUGGCACUGAGGAUGAUUUUACUACACAGAAUACUUCCACAGUGUCUCAAGAGGAGCAGACUUGGUGAUUCACACUCCCUCCUGCUGAUGAGUUGCGGAUGGAGAAAAAUAAGAACGAAGAUGCUCAUCAUUCAUUAAAAUAAAUUUUUAAACAGCCGUAUUAGAUUACUGAUUUGGCAUCACUCUGUAUAAUGUAAAACAUGUUUUACUGCAAAAUAAUUUAAACUGGCUCUCCAUUCAUAAACAUAAAAUAAUGUGGUCUUGAAUUCAAAUCUAUGCUAAUGACCUUUAUAGACUAAUGUUUUUAGUAAGUGUGAUGUGGUUUUUUUAAAACGUUUUUAGCUCCUGACUCCUAUGACUGCCUACUGUGAAUUACUUAUAACAAAGUGAUAUAUUUUUUAACUGUGUUGUUUUAAUUGACCUAUCUCCCAUCAGACCAUCAGCUAUUAUGGGAUAUUUGGCACAUUUUAAGUCAUUAUUGUUUCACAAAAUAAACCUUCUUGGAGCUUCUAAGGCUAUAACUACAUCCUGUACUGGGACAAAUUGUAUCUGUUUAUUGUAAUACUGACAGGGAAACCAUUUGAGGUUUUAAAUGCUAUUUGCAUCUUGUAUCUUUCAGGGAGGAGGUCAUGUUAUGAAAUGUAAAAUAUUUUUUCGGUAUGACAAAUAUUUUUUCACUGUCUUUACAUUUUUCCAAAGGAGAAAGUAGGCUACUGAUACUUUUGCUGGUGCAGAAAUACAUUUAAUGAUGAAAUUAAGUGACUUAGAGUUUAUUACAGACUUCUAUGGAACCCUACUCAAUUUUUAAUUCAAUUGGCAUUAAAGCUGCAAGCAGUAACUAGCUGCUUGCUUCCCGCACGUUGGGGCAUGCUGCAUCCAUGUCGCUGAUCGGUUGACACGGCUCUGAAUUUUUUUGCAUACUGGACUCUGCACCAAGGAGUUAAAUCCAGUUGUUGAUUUGGAUGUUCAUCCCCCAUGAACAUUCAGCACCUCCCAUUCUCCGUAGUUUGCGUGUUAUUCUCUCCCUCUGUGUAUUUGUUUAUUUCUACUCUCUGUGUGAAUGCUGUUGUCCUCGUGUGUGUUUGUGUGGCCUGUCCCCUCUUCAGCUCUCUGGUAGAGAGGAAGUGCCUGAGGUCGCUGAUGGGCAUAAUUACUUGAAUUACAGUCCAUUUGCAAUAAAAAUAAAUCUGUAAUCGGUUUCAUUAAAAUUUUAUUGGAAAUAAACAAA